rnacentral:RNase_P_RNA from 1 species
GUGAGUCGGUGAGCGGAGUGGGUGAUUCCACCCCUGGAAACUCCUCUCUCAGUGAGACGCGUGGCGCCGCGAGGCGCCGGUGGGAGACCGCCGCUGGACGAACAGAAACGACACCUCUGUGCUACAGUGAAAAGGAUUCCCUUCUUGGGAUGAAGAGUGGUACAGCCUGGAUGAAACGCUCGCUAUGCACGUGGAGAAAGGCUAAAUAGGGCCCGAUGACUUCGGAGGGCCGGGUGAGCCGAUUAGAUGGAUUCCGCUGAAACAGAAAGAGGGUUACGGCCGACUCAC